rnacentral:tRNA from 1 species
GCCCUUUUAACUCAAUGCUAGAGUAAUGCCAUGGUAAGGCAUAAGUCACCAGUUCAAAUCUUAUAAAGGGCU